UACGAGUGCCCCCAAGCGUUAUCCGGAAUCACUGGGCGUAAAGCGUGUUCAGGUGGUCAUGUUAGUCCAUAGUUAAAUUCUUCGGCUUAACCGGGGGUCCGCUAUGGAAACGGCAUGACUAAGAGGGUGCAAGGGGUCUGUAGAACUCAUGGUGUAGGGGUGAAAUCCGUUGAUCUCAUGGGGAAUACCGAAAGCGAAGGCAGCAGACUGGUGCAUUUCUGACACUUAUACACGAAAGCGUGGGUA
rnacentral:rRNA from 1 species